AGCAGCCGCGGUAAUUCCAGCUCCAAUAGCGUAUAUUAAAGUUGUUGCAGUUAAAAAGCUCGUAGUUGAAUUUCGGGAUCAAGGCGUCGGUCGUGCUUCGGUACGUACUGGCGUCAUUGAUUUCUCCCUUCUGACGAACCAUGAUGCCAUUAACUUGGUGUUAUGGGAAAUCAGGACUGUUACUUUGAAAAAAUUAGAGUGUUUAAAGCAGGCUCACGCUUGAAUACAUUAGCAUGGAAUAAUGAAAUAGGACGUUCGAUCCUAUUUUGUUGGUUUUUAGGAUCAACGUAAUGAUUAAUAGGGAUAGUUGGGGGCAUUAGUAUUCAAUUGUCAGAGGUGAAAUUCUUGGAUUUAUUGAAGACUAACUACUGCGAAAGCAUUUGCCAAGGAUGUUUUCAUUAAUCAAGAACGAAAGUUAGGGGAUCGAAGACGAUCAGAUACCGUCGUAGUCUUAACCAUAAACUAUGCCGACUAGGGAUCGGAUGAUGUUAAAUUAUUUAAUGACUCAUUACGGCGUACC
rnacentral:rRNA from 1 species